AUUGAACGCUGGCGGCAGGCCUAACACAUGCAAGUCGAGCGGACGAAGGGAGCUUGCUCCUGGAUUCAGCUGCGGACGGGCGAGUAAUUCCUAGGAAUCUGCCUUGCCGUGGGGGAUAACGUCAGGACACGGGCGCUAAUACCGCAUCCGUCCAGAUGUAGAACGUGGUGGAUCUUCGGUCCUCAAGCUUUCAGCUGAGCCUAGGUCGUAUUAGCUAGUUGGUGGGGUAAAGGCCUACCAAGGCGACGAUCCGUAACUGGUCUGAGAGGCUGACCAGUCACACUGGAACUGAGACACGGUCCAGACUCCUACGGGAGGCAGCAGUAGGGAAUAUUGGGCAAUGGGCGAAAGCCUGAUCGAGCCAUGCCGCGUGUGUGAAGAAGGUCUUCGGAUUGUAAAGCACUGUUAGUAGGGAGGAAGAGCAGUAUAUGAAAACCUUGCUGUUUUGACGGUACCAAAAGAGAAAGCACCGGCUAACUUCGUG
rnacentral:rRNA from 1 species